rnacentral:rRNA from 1 species
AGUCGAGCGAACAGACGAGGAGCUUGCUCCUCUGACGUUAGCGGCGGACGGGUGAGUAACACGUGGGUAACCUACCCAUCAGAGGGGGAUAACACUUGGAAACAGGUGCUAAUACCGCAUAACAGUUUAUGCCGCAUGGCAUAAGAGUGAAAGGCGCUUUCGGGUGUCGCUGAUGGAUGGACCCGCGGUGCAUUAGCUAGUUGGUGAGGUAACGGCUCACCAAGGCCACGAUGCAUAGCCGACCUGAGAGGGUGAUCGGCCACACUGGGACUGAGACACGGCCCAGACUCCUACGGGAGGCAGCAGUAGGGAAUCUUCGGCAAUGGACGAAAGUCUGACCGAGCAACGCCGCGUGAGUGAAGAAGGUUUUCGGAUCGUAAAACUCUGUUGUUAGAGAAGAACAAGGACGUUAGUAACUGAACGUCCCCUGACGGUAUCUAACCAGAAAGCCACGGCUAACUACGUGCCAGCAGCCGCGGUAAUACGUAGGUGGCAAGCGUUAUCCGGAAUUAUUGGGCGUAAAGCGCGCGUAGGCGGUUUUUUAAGUCUGAUGUGAAAGCCCACGGCUCAACCGUGGAGGGUCAUUGGAAACUGGAAAACUUGAGUGCAGAAGAGGAAAGUGGAAUUCCAUGUGUAGCGGUGAAAUGCGCAGAGAUAUGGAGGAACACCAGUGGCGAAGGCGACUUUCUGGUCUGCAACUGACGC